rnacentral:rRNA from 1 species
UACGUAGGGGGCUAGCGUUGUCCGGAAUCAUUGGGCGUAAAGAGCGUGUAGGCGGUUCGGUAAGUCUGCUGUGAAAGUCCAGGGCUCAACCCUGGAAUGCCAGUGGAAACUGCCGAGCUAGAGUCCGGAAGAGGCGAGUGGAAUUCCUGGUGUAGCGGUGAAAUGCGCAGAUAUCAGGAGGAACACCGGUGGCGAAGGCGGGUCUCUGGGCCGAAACUGACGCUGAGGAGCGAAAGCGUGGGGAGCGAACAGG